GUGCCAGCCGCCGCGGUAAUACGGGGGGAGCAAGCGUUGUUCGGAUUUACUGGGCGUAAAGGGCGCGUAGGCGGCCACCGCAAGUCGAUUGUGAAAUCUCCGGGCUUAACCCGGAAAGGUCAACCGAUACUGCGGGGCUAGAGUGCAGAAGGGGCAACUGGAAUUCUUGGUGUAGCGGUGAAAUGCGUAGAUAUCAAGAGGAACACCUGCGGCGAAGGCGGGUUGCUGGGCUGACACUGACGCUGAAGUGCGAAAGCUAGGGGAGCGAACGGGAUUAGAUACCCGUGUAGUCC
rnacentral:rRNA from 1 species